GGGUUGUAAAGCACUUUUGGCAGGAAAGAAACGGCGCCGGUUAAUACCUGGCGCAACUGACGGUACCUGCAGAAUAAGCACCGGCUAACUACGUGCCAGCAGCCGCGGUAAUACGUAGGGUGCAAGCGUUAAUCGGAAUUACUGGGCGUAAAGCGUGCGCAGGCGGUUCGGAAAGAAAGAUGUGAAAUCCCAGGGCUUAACCUUGGAACUGCAUUUUUAACUACCGGGCUAGAGUGUGUCAGAGGGGGGUGGAAUUCCACGUGUAGCAGUGAAAUGCGUAGAUAUGUGGAGGAACACCGAUGGCGAAGGCAGCCCCCUGGGAUAACACUGACGCUCAUGCACGAAAGCGUGGGGAGCAAACAGGAUUAGAUACCCUGGUAGUCCACGCCCUAAACGAUGUCAACUAGCUGUUGGGGCCUUCGGGCCUUGGUAGCGCAGCUAACGCCGUGAAGUUGACCGCCUGGG
rnacentral:rRNA from 1 species